GAUGAAGAACGUAGCGAAAUGCGAUAAGUAAUGUGAAUUGCAGAAUUCAGUGAAUCAUCGAAUCUUUGAACGCAUCUUGCGCUCCUUGGUAUACUGAGGAGCAUGCCUGUUUGAGUGUCAUUAAAUUCUCAACUACACUGACUUUGAAUUGGUGUGGCUUGGAUUUGGGGGGAAAAUUGUUGUGGGCUUUUUGUAUAGUCUGCUCCCCUGAAAUUGAUUAGCGGUACCUUUGUGGAACUGUCUACAGGUGUGAUAAUUAUCUACAUCUUAGACAUCUGCUGGAAUGCUGCUUUCUAAACCUUACUUGUAUUGACAAUCUUGACCUCAAAUCAGGUAGGACUACCCGCUGAACUUAAGCAUAUCAAUAAGCGGAGGA
rnacentral:misc_RNA from 1 species